UAAGACAGAGGCCCCGAGCGUUAAUCGGAAUUACUGGGCUUAAAGGGUGCGUAGGCUGAUCCGAAAGUGCUUUGUGAAAUCCCCCGGCUCAACCGGGGAACAGCGGGGCAUACUGCGGAUCUUGAGGCAGGUAGGCGCCGAGGGAACAGUAGGUGGAGCGGUGAAAUGCGUAGAUAUCUACUGGAACGCCGAUGGUGAAGACGCUCGGCUGGGCCUGUCCUGACGCUGAGGCACGAAAGCGUGGGGAGCAAACAGGAUUAGAUACCCUGGUAGUCCACGCCGUAAACGAUGUACGCUAGAUCGGUGCGGCUCUGACGCCGGAUCGGUCGAAGUAAAAACGAUAAGCGUACCGCCUGGGGAGUACGGUCGCAAGGCUA
rnacentral:rRNA from 1 species